GACGAACGCUGGCGGCGUGCUUAACACAUGCAAGUCGAACGAUGAAGCCGGAGCUUGCUCUGGUGAAUUAGUGGCGAACGGGUGAGUAACACGUGAGUAACCUGCCCUUGACUCUGGGAUAACUGCGGGAAACUGUAGCUAAUACCGGAUACGACCCUCGGAGGCAUCUCCUGGGGGUGGAAAGAAUUUCGGUCAAGGAUGGACUCGCGGCCUAUCAGCUAGUUGGUGAGGUAAUGGCUCACCAAGGCGACGACGGGUAGCCGGCCUGAGAGGGUGACCGGCCACACUGGGACUGAGACACGGCCCAGACUCCUACGGGAGGCAGCAGUGGGGAAUAUUGCACAAUGGGCGAAAGCCUGAUGCAGCAACGCCGCGUGAGGGAUGAAGGCCUUCGGGUUGUAAACCUCUUUUAGCAGGGAAGAAGCGAAAGUGACGGUACCUGCAGAAAAAGCACCGGCUAACUACGUGCCAGCAGCCGCGGUAA
rnacentral:rRNA from 1 species